rnacentral:rRNA from 1 species
UACGUAGGGUGCGAGCGUUAAUCGGAAUUACUGGGCGUAAAGCGUGCGCAGGCGGUUUUGUAAGCCAGAUGUGAAAUCCCCGGGCUUAACCUGGGAAUGGCAUUUGGGACUGCAAGGCUCGAGUGCGGCAGAGGAGACUGGAAUUCCUGGUGUAGCAGUGAAAUGCGUAGAUAUCAGGAGGAACACCGAUGGCGAAGGCGGUUCUCUGGGACGGUACUGACGCUGAGACGCGAAAGCGUGGGGAGCGAACAGG